CCUACGGGUGGCAGCAGUAGGGAAUAUUGCUCAAUGGGGGAAACCCUGAAGCAGCAACGCCGCGUGGAGGAUGAAGGUUUUAGGAUUGUAAACUCCUUUUGGGAGAGAAGAGAAGGACGGUAUCUAACGAAUAAGCACCGGCUAACGCCGGGCCAGCAGCCGCGGUAAUACGGAGGGUGCAAGCGUUACUCGGAAUCACUGGGCGUAAAGAGUGCGCAGGCGGGCUGGGAAGGCAGAUGUGAAAUCCUGUAGCUUCACGACAGAACUGCAUUUGAAACUAUGAGUCUAGAGUGUGGGAGAGGUAGGUGGACUUCUUGUUGUAGGGGUUACAUCCGUAGAUAUC
rnacentral:rRNA from 1 species